rnacentral:tRNA from 1 species
UGCGGUGUAGCUCAACGGCCUCCAGAGCGUCCGUCUUGUAAACGGGAAGAUGUGGGUUCAACUCCCAUCGCCGCAGCCA